UAUACGAUGAAGAGUUUGAUCCUGGCUCAGGAUGAACGCUAGCGGCAGGCCUAACACAUGCAAGUCGAGGGGUAACAGGGUGCUUGCACCGCUGACGACCGGCGCACGGGUGCGUAACGCGUAUACAAUCUACCUUUUACAGAGAGAUACCCCAGAGA
rnacentral:rRNA from 1 species